rnacentral:tRNA from 1 species
GCCGAAGUAGCUCAGUUGGUAGAGCAUGGCUUUCGUAAAGCUAGGGUCGGGAGUUCGACUCUCCCCUUCGGCU